rnacentral:rRNA from 1 species
UCAAUGCACUAAAGUGCGAAGGGGUUACCUCGGUGCUAUCUGAAGAAGGUGGCUUUUACAUUGUCUAACCAGCUAUGUGAAUAAGAGGGGGGCAAGACUGGUGUCAGCCGCCGCGGUAACACCAGCCCCUCGAGUGGUGGGGAUGAUUAUUUGGCCUAAAGCGUCCGUAGCCGGCCAUGUAAGUCUCCCGUUAAAUCCAGCGCCCUAAGCGUUGGACUGCGGGAGAUACUGUAUGGCUAGAGGGUGGGAGAGGUCAGCGGUAUCCUGGGGGUAGGGGCGAAAUCCUUUGAUCCCCGGAGGACCACCAGUGGCGAAGGCUGCUGACUAGAACACGCCUGACGGUCAGGGACGAAAGCUGGGGUAGCGAACCGGAUUAGAUACCCGGGUAGUCCCAGCCGUAAACGAUGCAUGCUAGGUGUUGGGUCGGCCACGAGCCGCCCCAGUGCCGCAGGGAAGCCGUUAAGCAUGCCGCCUGGGGAGUACGGCCGCAAGGCUGAAACUUUU